AGGAUUAUAAUUUAAUUUAAAAAUAUUUAAUUUGCAAUUAAAAAAUAUUAACUUUUAAUUAAUCUUA
rnacentral:tRNA from 1 species